AUGCUGUGCCUGCCUCCAGCGGAGCCCAUCUCAGACCUCACUCUCCGGAACUCUGGCUUCACUCAAAGAUUUGUCAAACCGACCUCCCUGUCAGUGCUCUGUGCCCUGCCUGAACUCUGCAGUUGUGCCUGGAUGUCUUGGAAGACUUUCGUCACUUGGCUUCAGCUCCGCAAUUUCUAUUUAAAAUCAAAAGAUGAGAAAACCAAGGCUCGGACUUGCUUAAGUGGCUUACCCGAGCACCUCAAAGCCAGGCUUCCUGAUGUUGAAAGCCACUGUUUCCUGCUGCUCCGGGUAAGCAUCCAUCUGUGCUGGAUGCCAGGGAGAAUGGAGAAGAUGGUGCAAAUUUCCACUGGAGGUGAGGAGGGAAAUUUCAUAGAAGAGUUGGUGUCUGAGUAUGAUUUUAACAGUGGGGGCCAGGCCAGAGGGGACCAGCAAGUUGGCAGGAGUGACAUGAGACCUUUUUGA
rnacentral:lncRNA from 13 species